rnacentral:siRNA from 1 species
CGAUGGUAAAUGAAGUAAUGCCCGC